GUCGUCAUUUCUGGUGUGAUAACAUGCAAAUACAAAUAAAUCACAUCAACUGCAAUCAAAAUCAAGUUUAUCUCAAUUUUAUCACCGAGUGCAUUGAAUAAUGUAACAAUUUUAUCAGUUGUUUGUUCAAGCGCCACCAUUUACGACAACUGCUCACCGGCGAUUUUCUAACGGUUUCCGAACGGUAGUCGCUCUGUAUCCAUCGGUGGAAAUAAAUGAAUAUUCAUUUUCACUUGCAUCAUAAUCAUAAUUGUUAAUUGUAAACGCAAAAAUAUUAAAAAACCCUAAGUGUAUAGUGUAAUUAUGAAAAUAAGACAUAAAACUUUACUUAAACACUAA